rnacentral:rRNA from 1 species
GAUGAACGCUGGCGGCAUGCCUAAUACAUGCAAGUCGAACGAGAGGAAGGAAAGCUUGCUUUCCUGAAUCUAGUGGCGAACGGGUGAGUAACACGUAGGUAACCUGCCCAUGUGCCCGGGAUAACUUCUGGAAACGGAUGCUAAAACCGGAUAGGUAGCAGACAAGCAUUUGACUGCUAUUAAAGUGGUCUUGGCCAUGAACAUGGAUGGACCUGCGGUGCAUUAGCUGGUUGGUGAGGUAACGGCCCACCAAGGCGACGAUGCAUAGCCGGCCUGAGAGGGCGGACGGCCACAUUGGGACUGAGACACGGCCCAAACUCCUACGGUAGGCAGCAGUAGGGAAUUUUCGUCAAUGGGGGGAACCCUGAACGAGCAAUGCCGCGUGAGUGAGGAAGGUCUGCGGAUCGUAAAGCUCUGUUGUAAGAGAAAAACGGCACUCAUAGGGAAUGAUGAGUGAGUGAUGGUAUCUUACCAGAAAGUCACGGCUAACUACGUGCCAGCAGCCGCAGUAA